rnacentral:rRNA from 1 species
AUGACCCGCAUCCUACAACUUCAAAGAAGUAUUUGUAUCACACUCGAGCAAUGGAUCGGGGAAGGAGUUUCAUUCAUUUACGGAGUUUGGAAGCGAGGACGAUCUAGGAUUGACUGCUAUCUGAAGAAGUGGAAUGGAUCUGAUUACCCAUUGGCGUCUGCAUUGAUGCUUCUGACUAGCCCUACUCUGUGUCUUUUGCGUUUCCUUAUUCAUGUACUCAUGUCUAUUUCUAUUUGUAUGAUACUUAUAUUGCAAUCGAUCUAUCCCUUGGUCCUGCCAAUCGAAUUGUUAAGUAUGUUUUUCCCUUUUGAAAUGGUGAUAGUACCAAAUGCCGAAUUAGCGGCUGUACCGGGGGAUAGCUUGUUGUGGGGCUUUCCGAAGGGUCGUUCUGAGAGUGGUCUCUUUUCUUUAAGGUUGCAUAUAUUGUCGGAGAAGGGAGGGAUCCAGGCCAGGUCUAAAAGUGCCGAGUUGGGUUUGGGACAAGAUCAGGAAAUAGUGCAUCUUAUAUAG